GAUGAACGCUGGCGGCGUGCCUAAUACAUGCAAGUCGAGCGAACGGACGAGAAGCUUGCUUCUCUGAUGUUAGCGGAGGACGGGAGUGUAACACGUGGAUACCCUACCUAUAAGACUGGGAUAACUUCGGGAAACCGUAGCUUAUACCGGAUAAUCUUUUGAACCGCAUGGUUCAAAAGUGAAAGACGGUCGUGGUGUCACUAAUAGCUGGAUACGCGCUGCAUUAGCUAGUUGGUACGGUAACGGCUUACCACGGCAACGAUGCAUAUCCGACGUCAGAGGGUGGUCGGCCACACUGGAGCGUAGACAGGGUCCAUACUCCUGCGGUAGGCAGCAGUAUGCAAUCGUCCGCAGUGGUCGAAAGCCUGACGGAGCGACGCCGCGUGAGUGAUAGAGGUCUUCGGAGCGGAAUACUCUGUUAUUAGUGAAGAACAUAUUUGUAAGGUACUGUGCACAUCUUGACGGUAACUAGUCAGAAAGCCACGGCUAACUACGUG
rnacentral:rRNA from 1 species